rnacentral:pre_miRNA from 1 species
GGGGGGAGUUCAGAUCCUGGGCUGUGUCCCAGGCGCCCUAUGCCCUGGGGCCUGCGCUGUUGGAUUCGCGCUCCGUCUGUGCAGCUGCCU